rnacentral:rRNA from 1 species
ACAUUUAGGUUGUAGGGAACUGAAAGGGACCGACCUUCGGGAGCCUAUACAGGUGUUGCAUGGCUGUCGUCAGCUCGUGUCGUGAGAUGUUCGGUUAAGUCCGCUAACGAGCGCAACCCUCGUCGUAUGUUAUUAUGUGUCAUUACGAGACUGCCGGUAAAAGCCGGAGGAAGGUGAGGAUGAUGUCAAGGUCAGCAUGACCUUUAUAUCCAGGGCUACACACACGCUACAAUGGUCUGUACAAUGGGUAGCCAAGCCGCGAGGCGGAGCCAAUCCUGAAAGCAGGCCUCAGUUCAGAUUGCAGUCUGCAACUCGACUGCAUGAAGCCGGAGUUGCUAGUAACCGCAGGUCAGCAAUACUGCGGUGAAUACGUUCCCGGGUCUU